rnacentral:lncRNA from 1 species
AGUUUGCGAAUUGGUCCAAAGUUGAUGUAGCCGCUGCAAGUUACUAAGCGACUGCUUUUAUAAAUCCGCAACUGGCCAGGCGCGGUGGCUCACGCCUGUAAUCCCAGCACUUUGGGAGGCCGAGGCGGGCUGAUCACCUGGGGUCAGGAGUUCAAGACAAGUCUGGCCAACAUCGUGAACCGCCCCGCCCCCCGCCCCCCCCGCCCCCCCGCGCCGCCCCCCCCCGCCCCCCGCCCCCGUCCCCCCGCCCCCCCCGCCCCCCCCGCCCCCCGUCCCCCCGCCCCCCCGCCCCCCCGUCCCCCCGUCAGUACUAAAAAUACAAAAAUUAGCCGGGCAUGGUGGCGGGUGCCUGUAAUCCCAGCUGCUUGGGAGGCUAAGGCAGGAGAAUCGCUUGAACCCAGGAGGUGGAGGUUGCAGUGAGCCGAGACCAUGCCAUUGCACUCCAGUCUGGACAACAAGAGCGAAACUCCAUCUCAAAUCAGUCAAUCAAUCCGCAACUAGGGCUAGUGCAAGAUAUGGAAAAUGAAGCUGACAGAGGUGAUGUUGUGUCCGGAAUUGGUGGGUUCUUGGUCUCACUGACUUCAAGAAUGAAGCUGCGGAGCCUCGCGGUGAGUGUUACAGUUCUUAAAAGCAGCGCAUCCGGAGUCUGUUCCUUCUGAUGUUAAGAUGUGUUUGGAGUUUCUUCCUUCUGGUGGUUUAUGGCCUCGCUGGCUCAGAAGCGAAGCUGCAGACCUUCGGGCAGUGAGUGUUACAGCUCUUAAGGCGACGCAUCUGGAGUUGUUCCUUCCUCCCGGCGGGCUCGUGGUCUCGCUGGCUUCAGGAGUAAAGCUGCAGACCUUUGCGGUGAGUGUUACAGCUCAUAAAGACGACGUGGUCCCAAAAAGCGAAAGAACAAACCUCCCACACCGUGGAAGGUGCCCCGAGCAGAUUGCCACUACUAGCUCCGGCAGCCUGCUUUUAUUCUCUUAUCUGGCCCCACCCACAUCCUGCUGAUUGGUAGAGCCCAGUGGUCUGUUUUGACAGGUCGCUGAUUGGUGCCUUUACAAUCCCUCAGCUAGACACAAAGGUUCUCCAAGGCCCCACCAGAGUAGCCAGAUACAGAGUGUCCAUUGGUGCAUUUACAAACCCUGAGCUAGACACAGGGUGCUGAUUGGUGUGUUUACAAACCUUGAGCUAGAUACAGAGUGCUGAUUGGUGUAUUUACAAUCCCUGAGCUAGACAUAAAGAUUCUCCAAGGCCGCAUCAGAGUAGCUAGAUACAGAGUGUCGAUUGGUGUAUUUACAAUCCCUGAGCUAGACAUAAAGGUUCUCCACCUCCCCACCAGACUCAGGAGCCCAGCUGGCUUCACCCAGUGGAUCCCGCACCGGGGCUGCAGGUGGAGCUGCCCACCAGUCCCAGGCCGUGCGCUCGCGCUCCUCAGCCCUUGGGUGGUCCGUGGGACUGGGCGCCGUGGAGCGGGGGUGGCACUCGCGUCGGGGAGGCUCGGGCAGCACAGGAGCCCAUGGAGGGGGUGGGAGGCUCAGGCAUGGCAGGCUGCAGGUCCCGAGCCCUGCCCUGCGGGAAGGCAGCUAAGGCCCGGUGAGAAAUAGAGCGCAGCGCUGGUGGGC